rnacentral:rRNA from 1 species
CUAGCGUUGUUCGGAAUUACUGGGCGUAAAGCGCACGUAGGCGGUUUUGUAAGUUAGAGGUGAAAGCCUGGGGCUCAACCCCAGAAUAGCCUUUAAGACUGCAUCACUUGAACGUCGGAGAGGUGAGUGGAAUUCCGAGUGUAGGGGUGAAAUUCGUAGAUAUUCGGAAGAACACCAGUGGCGAAGGCGGCUCACUGGACGACUGUUGACGCUGAGGUGCGAAAGCGUGGGGAGCAAACAGG